UGAUGCACUAUACCGCUGAGUUAAGAAGAGAAUAUUGUGUGCAGAGAGUCAGGGCCUUGCUGUUUUGAUAGCAGAGGAGACAGAGCACAUUCCACAGGAGCUUCACCCCACCACCUUGUUGGGAGCAGAAAAACAAGGAGCCGAGGUCAUAACUUAGGCGCCGUGUGAGAGAAAGAAUGUGAAUGUUUAGGCUUUUACAACUAGGUGGGGGCCGCUAGAGGCUGUAAGAGUUUGAGUAACCCUCCACCAGUUUGAGAUUUGCUGUGACCCUCUGCAUGCAUGUCUCCCCAUCCGGAUGGUUUGUGCUCAAAAGUGUUGAAUUGUAUGUAAUAAAGUAAUUGUUGAUUGAGCAUUUAUACACCGAGUAUUGUCCUUCCUUCAGCCCAAAGAUCGAAAGAAUUGGGAGGUUAUAACAAUUUGGUGCCUUGUGACCCGGAUCUUUAGUGUGCUGAGGAGGGCAGAUUUGGCCUGUGGUGAGAUCGUGAGGCGAGGCGAGCAGAGGACCGGUCCAAAUUAAAAAGUUGCACUCUCGCAGCACACACACACAUUGGUGGAGAUGGUGUGUUGAGCAGAGCCUGGUCACAGACUUCUGCACUGACAGCCAACUUGAAGUUGAAGUCGCUGAAGGUAUUACCGAGGUAAGAAUUGGUUGUGGGAAGGAGUUUUACUUGGCACCGUUCAUCCAGGAAAGGCUGGCAGAAUACAGCUACAAUUGGCAGAGGCAGCCCUCCAUUCAGACACCUUCUACAAGGGUAACAAUGUGGUGUUAAAAUGUGUGUGUGCUUUUUUUAAUAAGCCCUCUUUCAAUUGGAGUGUAUUUCAAAUUAGAACAAGCACAAUAACACUGUUUUAAAAUGUGCACAGAACCAUGUGAUAGGGAGAAUGUGGUCAGACAGUUUUGGUAAAGGUGUUGGACAGAUAGGAAG